AGGAUAAACGCUGGCGGCGUGCCUAACACAUGCAAGUCGAACGCGCUUUCGGGCUUCGGUGCGAGAGCGAGUGGCGGACGGGUGAGUAACACAUGGGUACCUGCCUUUCAGUGAGGGAUACCGGCGAGAAAUCGCCGACAAUACCGCAUGGGCUUGUGGGAACACAAGCAAAGUGGCGCAAGCCACGCUGGAAGAUGGGCCUGUGGCCGAUUAGCUAGUUGGGGGGGUAAUGGCCUCCCAAGGCGACGAUCGGUAGCUGGUCUGAGAGGACGAUCAGCCACACUGGGAUUGAGAACGGCCCAGACUCCUACGGGGGGCAGCAGUGAGGAAUUUUCCGCAAUGGACGAAAGUCUGACGGAGCAACGCCGCGUGCAGGAGGAAGGUUUUCGGAUCGUAAACUGCUUUUUCUCGGGGACGAGCAAGGACGGUACCCGAGGAAGAAGCCCGGCUAACUACGUGCCAGCAGCCGC
rnacentral:rRNA from 1 species